CAGAGGUCCCGAGCGUUGUUCGGAUUUACUGGGCGUAAAGGGUGCGUAGGCGGUCGGAUAAGUCUGAUGUGAAAUCUCAGAGCUCAACUCUGAAACUGCAUUGGAUACUAUUCGGCUUGAGGUCUGGAGGGGGGACUGGAAUUCUCGGUGUAGCAGUGAAAUGCGUAGAUAUCGAGAGGAACACCAGUGGCGAAGGCGAGUCCCUAGACAGGUCCUGACGCUGAGGCACGAAAGCUAGGGGAGCAAACAGGAUUAGAUACCCUGGUAGUCCUAGCCGUAAACGGUGCGUAUCUGCUGUAAAAGGAAUCGACCCCUUUUGUGGCGUAGCAAACGCGUUAAAUACGCCGCCUGGGAAGUACGGUCGCAAGAUUA
rnacentral:rRNA from 1 species